rnacentral:rRNA from 1 species
CCAGACUCCUACGGGAGGCAGCAGUGGGGGAUAUUGCACAAUGGGGGGAACCCUGAUGCAGCGACGCCGCGUGGGUGAAGAAGCGUUUCGGCGCGUAAAGCCCUAUCGGCAGGGAAGAAGGAGGACGGUACCUGACUAAGAAGCCCCGGCUAACUACGUGCCAGCAGCCGCGGGAAUACGUAGGGGGCAAGCGUUAUCCGGAUUUACUGGGUGGAAAGGGAGCGUAGACGGCUGUCCAAGCCAGAUGUGAAAGCCCGGGGCGCAACCCCGGGACUGCAUUGGGAACUGUGUGGCUGGAGUGUCGGAGAGGCAGGCGGAAUUCCUAGUGUAGCGGUGAAAUGCGUAGAUAUUAGGAGGAACACCAGUGGCGAAGGCGGCCUGCUGGACGAUGACUGACGUUGACGCUCGAAAGCGUGGGGAGCAAACAGGAUGAGACCCGGGUAA